rnacentral:misc_RNA from 1 species
GAACAAGCACGAUUUGUUUUGCAUUUAGUUGAAAAUCACUUUUUGCUGCAAUAUCAGGAAAGCAUUAAUUACCAACAAAUGGAUAAACAAGAACAAACGCACUUUUAUCCAAGAAUGCAGUCGGAUGUAAUAGUCUAUAUUGCCUGAAUUCACCAUUCAGUAAGUCUGAAAAGCUCGCCCACAGAAUUUCCAAGGCAGUUCAAGUGCAACUCAGCGCUAAAUGUAAUAAAGUACAGUCGAUGUAAAAGUACCGAAUAAUCAUGUAUAAUGUGACCAACUCGAGUACAUCAGUGUCCAAUAUGUGAAACCAACCCAAUCAAAGACUUUAAAUCACAUAGGAACAACACGGGCCUUGUACAUGCAAAUAUAAGCCAUAUGCCAAUCACCACCCCCUGAAAGUUUAGUGAUGUCCUCUUCUCGCUGCGGGAUUGGAUUGUCAUCAUCGAAUUGAACCCACUUUCCGUUCUCUUGCUUGACCCAGGCAACAUAAUGCCCUGAGUCGGCACUUCUUCCCUUGUGAGUCAGCACCGCCACCAAAUCAUAUAUUCCAGUCAACUGGUGUUCCUUCUCAGGCAGAACACCUUCUUGGGAUGUAGAUUUAGAUGCUUCUCCACUUCCACUAGAUGAUUCCUCAGCAUCCGUCAUUUUAGUGUCGUUGUCAGUUGUAACUGGAGUUUUUGCACUUGUUUUUAAACCAGCCUUCUUACCUUCUGCAUCCCUCAAAACCUGGCGGGGGCCUUCCAGUUUCUUGCGAAGGUUAUCCGAACAAAGAUCAUAUACAUCCAACGACAAUGGGUAAUCCACUUUCCGUAAAAUCUUUGCCUUCUGAUUUGAUUCCCUUUUCCAGAAAAAACGGACGAAUUGAAUGGUCAAGUAUCUUGGCAAGCCAUUGAUUCGGGAGUCUUUCACAUAAACUGCACUGCGUCCAAGUGAAGGAGAUGCCUUCUCCAGUUCCGAUUUCAGACCACGUUUCAAACCCUCGUGCAAAUGGUUAACUUCCUGCGAAAUGUGGCAUUUAAGGGAAUAGACAGUUUCUGUUUCUGUGCUUUCUUCACCACUUUCAGCACAAUGGAUCCUGUUAUCAAAGUCAAUACCGAAGAGAGUCUUCACAAUAUCCUGACCUUCACUCGAAUUCGGUGAUUUAAGAGACUGGGAAAGGGUGUAAAGUAGUUGGGUCCAACACUCUUCGGCAUCCUGUUGCAUGAAAGCUCCAUUGCUCUGCUGGCCAAAUUGAGGAUAUUUCUUCCGCAAAACCAUCCAGAACUGCAUUGGUGCCACUGGCUUCACAUUUUUAUCAAGGUCAUUAAAUAGAUCUCUUGUUGCAACUGUCAAGAGAUGAGAUGAGUGAUCCAAAUCAUUGCUUUUACCCAGUUGAUUAUACUCAGUCAGAGAAGACUUCAGUUCCGGAACUGAAUGCAAGCACUGCACUGUGGAGUUCAUGUAGCAUGUGUUUCCAAGAUUAAAUAAUCCAGCUGAAUGACCUACAUUAACCACUUGCUCUUCUUCAGGCAUAUCUUCAACAAAAAUAGGACCCUUCUCAGGGGCCUUCACAAUUUCAUCAGCAGUUCCCAUCAUCAUCAGCCUUUGCCCCUCUUUUACUCCUACUCUAGACCAAUCAGCGUCAUCCUUCAGUAAACCACCUUUGACCAUUAUCUUUUGCCUUUCAGGUGGUACCCCUGUUAGAUCAUACAGCUGACAUUUGAAAACAUAUGGAGGCUGGCUAGUGUCAAUUUCCACAGCAGGAUAGACUUCUUUUUGCCACUUUACACUUACUGUCACCAUGGUUGUCGGAGCUUCGCCGUUGGCAGGAUCGGGACUCGACGGAGGUUUCUCGCUCUGUUUAGAAUUUGCCCUGUGUGAUGUUUGCUUGUAGAGAAGGGCAGGCAAA